rnacentral:tRNA from 1 species
GGAGAGGUAGCUCAGCAGGUAGAGCAAAUGCACGGAAGAUUCUGAAAAAUAUUACCUUGAUUUAUAUAAAGAGUGCCGUAGAAAAGGCCUACUUCGGUUUAAUUUGGUUCGACUCCAGAAGGUCAUGGAAAUGAUCUUGUAUAAGUCUUUUCGAGUCUUGCCUCUUUUAUUUUAAAAACAAACAAGUGCCGUAGAAAAAUGUUACUUCGCUCAUCACGACGGGGUCGCGGGUUCGAGUCCCGCCUCUUCCA